GUAAGAGUAAAGAAGGGAUGAUUCAUCAGAGGUAGAAGAAGAGGACAAAGAUUGGAGCUGAGCAUUGUACCAAUCGUGAUGGGUAGCAAAAGAAGAAGGUAUUUGGUGAUUUUUCAUGUGAACAAUGUAAACUUUCUUGGCUAAACAUGGCUGAAGAACAAGGAGAACAACAAUGACGGAGAAACAGAGGAAAGAACCCAUUUGGAAAAAUGGGAGAUGAUUUUAAUGGUGUUUUUGUUUAUAGGGAAAUAUCUCAGUGAGGAAAAAGAGAAAGGAAGAAUGGAAAGGAGGAGACAGUCGCCGUGAGAUGCGACUGACAGAAGAA
rnacentral:lncRNA from 1 species